UGGUAGUCCACGCCGUAAACGAUGUCGACUUGGAGGUUGUGCCCUUGAGGCGUGGCUUCCGGAGCUAACGCGUUAAGUCGACCGCCUGGGGAGUACGGCCGCAAGGUUAAAACUCAAAUGAAUUGACGGGGGCCCGCACAAGCGGUGGAGCAUGUGGUUUAAUUCGAUGCAACGCGAAGAACCUUACCUACUCUUGACAUCCAGAGAACUUUCCAGAGAUGGAUUGGUGCCUUCGGGAACUCUGAGACAGGUGCUGCAUGGCUGUCGUCAGCUCGUGUUGUGAAAUGUUGGGUUAAGUCCCGCAACGAGCGCAACCCUUAUCCUUUGUUGCCAGCGGU
rnacentral:rRNA from 1 species